AGAAAACCCGCCGCUUUUCGCCCCCGCCGCCUGCAGCCGCCACCGCCGCUUAUGGAGCAGCUAUCGCCGUGGGGGAAUCCGAGGCCCCUGACCGGACUCAGGACGCCCCCAGACCCCGAGCUCCCUCGCUGGAGGCUGCAGGAAGAUUCCCAGAGGGUCACAGAGGGCCCCAGUGUCCACAGACUCUGCUCAGACGGCGACCAGGACUCCACCGGGGGCCUGGGCCGUGCCCAGAGAGGCUUCAGGCCCCUGACUGAACUCAGGAUGCCCCCGGACCCCGGGAUGCCGCGCUGGAGGCUGCAGGAAGAUUCCCAGAGGGCCACAUAGGGCACAGAGGGCCACAGUGCGCCCCAGUGUCCACAGACUCUGCCCAGACAGCGACCAUUACUCCACCGGGGGCCUGGGCCAUGCCCAGAGAGGCUUCAGGCCCCUGACUGGACUCAGGACGACCCCGGACCCCGGGAUGCUGCGCUGGAGGCUGCAGGAAGAUUCCCAGAGGGCCACAUAGGGCACAUAGGGCCACAGUGCACCCCAGUGUCCACAGACUCUGCCCAGAUAGCGAC